rnacentral:rRNA from 1 species
GACGGAGGAUGCAAGUGUUAUCCGGAAUCACUGGGCGUAAAGCGUCUGUAGGUGGUUUAAAAAGUCCACUGUUAAAGAUUGAAGCUUAACCUCAAAAAUGCCGUGGAAACUUUUAAACUUGAGUAUGAUAGGGGUAGAGGGAAUUUCCAGUGGAGCGGUGAAAUGCGUAGAUAUUGGAAAGACCACCAAUGGCGAAGGCACUCUACUGGGCCAUUACUGACACUGAGAGACGAAAGCUAGGGGAGCAAAUGGG